rnacentral:tRNA from 1 species
GCGGGUGUAGUUCAAUGGUAGAACACCAGCUUCCCAAGCUGGAUACGUGGGUUCGAUUCCCAUCACCCGCU